rnacentral:rRNA from 1 species
GAUGAACGCUGGCGGCGUGCUUAACACAUGCAAGUCGAACGAUGAAGCCCAGCUUGCUGGGUGGAUUAGUGGCGAACGGGUGAGUAACACGUGAGUAACCUGCCCUUAACUCUGGGAUAAGCCUGGGAAACUGGGUCUAAUACCGGAUAGGAGCGUCCACCGCAUGGUGGGUGUUGGAAAGAUUUAUCGGUUUUGGAUGGACUCGCGGCCUAUCAGCUUGUUGGUGAGGUAAUGGCUCACCAAGGCGACGACGGGUAGCCGGCCUGAGAGGGUGACCGGCCACACUGGGACUGAGACACGGCCCAGACUCCUACGGGAGGCAGCAGUGGGGAAUAUUGCACAAUGGGCGCAAGCCUGAUGCAGCGACGCCGCGUGAGGGAUGACGGCCUUCGGGUUGUAAACCUCUUUCAGUAGGGAAGAGGCGAAAGUGACGGUACCUGCAGAAGAAGCACCGGCUAACUACGUG